CUGCUAAUUGUGGGCAGAUAAAAUGAAUAUGAGAAUCUAUUGCUCCAGCAGUGAUGAUGAAUCUCUCACCAGCAAUUACUUCUGUAUUGACCUUCCAAAAACAGAACAUAAAGCAGAUUGUAAAAGGGUUUCUAGAUAACAGCCAAAACACAAACUGAAAGUUGAAAGAUGUGUUUCAUGGAAGGAAAUCUUACACCAAUAAUCAUUCCUUUGGAUACUCCAUUCAUGACAUCAGGAUUUCCUGCCUUUCCAAUUCCUGUAAUAAUAUCCCCUUUGAUGCCAAUAUCUGCCUUGUAAAUUCCUGUAUAAUCUAUUAUUAAUCCAUUUGUAAUCACAACAUCCAAACAAGAAGCAGAUGGAUAUCCAGAGGCCUGGCCCAUUCCCUCCCG
rnacentral:sRNA from 1 species